rnacentral:rRNA from 1 species
GUGAGUGAUCUGCCCUCAACUUCGGGAUAAGCCUGGGAAACUGGGUCUAAUACUGGAUAGGACCAUCCUUUAGUGUGUGAUGGUGGAAAGUUUUUCGGUUGGGGAUGAGCUCGCGGCCUAUCAGCUUGUUGGUGGGGGUAAUGGCCUACCAAGGCGUCGACGGGUAGCCGGCCUGAGAGGGUGUACGGCCACAUUGGGACUGAGACACGGCCCAGACUCCUACGGGAGGCAGCAUG